rnacentral:rRNA from 1 species
UACGUAGGGGGCAAGCGUUGUCCGGAUUUAUUGGGCGUAAAGAGCGUGUAGGCGGUUCGGUAGGUCCGCUGUGAAAACUCGAGGCUCAACCUCGAGACGCCGGUGGAAACCAUCAGACUAGAGUCCGGAAGAGGAGAGUGGAAUUCCCGGUGUAGCGGUGAAAUGCGUAGAGAUCGGGAAGAACAUCGGUGGCGAAAGCGCUCUACUGGACCGCAACUGACACUCAGGGACGAAAGCUAGGGGAGCGAAUAGG